rnacentral:rRNA from 1 species
GCAGGGAAUCUUGCGCAAUGGGCGAAAGCCUGACGCAGCGACGCCGCGUGGGGGAAGAAGGCCUGUGGGUCGUAAACUCCUUUUCUGGGGGAAGAAACCAGACGGUACCCCAGGAAUAAGCCUCGGCUAACUACGUGCCAGCAGCCGCGGUAAUACGUAGGAGGCAAGCGUUGUCCGAAUUCACUGGGCGUAAAGAGCGUGUAGGCGGCUGGGUCCGUCGGCGGUGUAAGCUCCAGGCUUAACUUGGAGAGGUCCGCCGAUACCACUCGGCUUGAGGGCGGUAGAGGAGCACGGAAUUCCUGGUGUAGUGGUGAAAUGCGUAGAUAUCAGGAGGAACACCUGAGGCGAAAGCGGUGCUCUGGGCCGUUUCUGACGCUGAGACGCGAAAGCGUGGGGAGCAAACCGG